UACGAAGGGGGCUAGCGUUGCUCGGAAUUACUGGGCGUAAAGCGCACGUAGGCGGCUUUCUAAGUCGAGGGUGAAAUCCUGGAGCUCAACUCCAGAACUGCCUUCGAUACUGGAAAGCUCGAGUCCGGGAGAGGUGAGUGGAACUGCGAGUGUAGAGGUGAAAUUCGUAGAUAUUCGCAAGAACACCAGUGGCGAAGGCGGCUCACUGGCCCGGUACUGACGCUGAGGUGCGAAAGCGUGGGGAGCAAACAGG
rnacentral:rRNA from 1 species